AGCGAACGUUUGCGGCGGGCCUAACACAUGCAAGUCGAACGCACUAGCAAUAGUGAGUGGCGCACGGGUGCGUAACACGUGGGUAAUCAACCCUUCAGCCUGGGAUAACGACUCGAAAGGGUCGCUAAUACCGGAUACGGCGCGAGAGGCUUCGGCUUCUCACGAGAAAGCCACGCAAGGGGCACUGAAGGACGAGCCUGCGGCCCAUCAGCUAGUUGGUGAGGUAAGAGCUCACCAAGGCUAAGACGGGUAGCUGGUCUGAGAGGAUGAUCAGCCACACUGGAACUGAGACACGGUCCAGACUCCUACGGGAGGCAGCAGUGGGGAAUAUUGCGCAAUGGGCGAAAGCCUGACGCAGCCACGCCGCGUGAGCGAUGAAGGCCUGGGUCGUAAGACUCUGUGGGAGAGACGAAGAAAGACCUGUGAAGAGCAGGCCUUGACGGUAUACGUCCUUAG
rnacentral:rRNA from 1 species